UAUGCGACGUUACUGAGAUCGGGCAGGGCGAGGCGGCCAUGGCCCCGGCUCCGGCCCCGGCCCCGGCUCCGGCCCCAGCUCCGGCCCCGGCCCCGACGGCGGAGGCGGCGGCCACCCCCUACGUGGGGCUGCGGCGGCCCCUGGGCUACCAGCUGGCCAAGGCCACCAAGGAGCGCAUCUGGCGGGGGGAGUUCAUUGACCUGUUUUCCUUGCUCCACACAGAGCUGGCCCCCGAGCACGGCCCGCGGCCGGGGGACACGCUGGACCAGUGGGUCUCCGCCUUCCUGGUGUACGCCAGCGUGGUGUGCGAGAAGCACCCGGCGCGCUGCGGGGCCAUGUUCAAGUACCUGGACACCAUCCGCAAGCUGCACGCCACCUACGGGGGCACCUCGUGGAUGAGCUACGACGAGGACUUUCGGCGGCGGGCGGCCAAGGACCCCAACCUGCCCUGGGGCGACGUCGACCUGGACCUCUGGAUGAAGUGGAUGGCGCCCCUCAAGUCGCUCAUCAGCAGGCACCACCGUGCUGAGAGCGAGCCGCAGGCCGCGCCGCCACCACCGCUGCCGCCACCAUCCUCGUCGUCGUCCCAGAGCCCCAAGCAGGAGGAGAAAAGCCAGACUCCAUGAAAACAGAAGGCCAGUUGGAAUGGCAGUCAGACUAAGUGGCCUGACUCCGUUGGUGUUUAAGUGGAGCUCUGGUAUUCUAGUGCAUUCUUUUACCUCUGCUUCUGUUGCGUUGCAAGCUGUGCUAGAGAAGACGUAGGAAAUUCAUUUUACCCAAUCAGCAAUUGUAACAAUGGACUACAAACCUGCAGAGCAAGCCAGUUUGCUGGAAAACAGGAAUUCCUGCAGCGCAGCACUUGUCACAGACUAUCCAAAGAGGGCAAAGAUUCAGGAAGGUGAAUAAAUUGAACAUUGGUUGAAUGAGGUCA
rnacentral:lncRNA from 1 species